rnacentral:lncRNA from 10 species
CAUUUAAGCAGGGAACGGAACAAAGAUAAAGAAACAGCCACGUGGACGUGUGGUGGAAGAUCGUUUGAAGGAGGAGAAGAGCAAGUCAAAGGCCCUGAGGCAAGAGCACACUGGGCAUGUUCAAGGGGAUUCUGGGAGUUGGAAGAGGCCAACUUUUCCUACCUGCAGUUUGAAGAUUAAGGACUUAGAGAUUUGUUGAGAGGCUGCUUCCGAGAGGUUACUGAUACACUGAGGACAGGAACUACUGACUACUCUGAAUGAGGGAAAAACAUCCAGUUUGGGGUGAUCCUGUUUUGCAAUGGCAGCUGUCAGCCAUAACAUGGUGGGAAAUAACGGUAAAUAAACCUCCUGUGAUUG